rnacentral:SRP_RNA from 1 species
GCUGGGCAUGGUGGUGCGUGCCUGUAAUCCCAGCUACUUGGGAGGCUGAGGCUGAAGAAUCACUUGAACCUGGGAGGUGGAGGUUGCAGUGAGCCAAGAUCGCACCACUGCGCUCCAACCUGGGUGACAGAGCGAGACUCUGUCUCUC